UAUGUGGCAUACGGCUCCGUAACACGUAGUCAACAUGCCCAGGGGACGUGGAUAACCUCGGGAAACUGAGGAUAAACCGCGAUAAGUCAUUACUUCUGGAAUGGGUAAUGACUGAAAUCUACAUGGCCCCUGGAUUGGACUGUGGCCGAUCAGGCUGUUGGUGAGGUAAUGGCCCACCAAACCUGUAACCGGUACGGGCUCUGAGAGGAGGAGCCCGGAGAUGGGCACUGAGACAAGGGCCCAGGCCCUAUGGGGCGCAGCAGGCGCGAAACCUCUGCAAUAGGCGAAAGCCUGACAGGGUUACUCUGAGUGAUUUCCGUUAAGGAGAUCUUUUGGCACCUCUAAAAAUGGUGCAGAAUAAGGGGUGGGCAAGUCUGGUGUCAGCCGCCGCGGUAAUACCAGCACCCCGAGUGGUCGGGACGUUUAUUGGGCCUAAAGCAUCCGUAGCCGGUUCUACAAGUCUUCCGUUAAAAUCCACCUGCUUAACAGAUGGGCUGCGGGAAGAUACUAUAGAGCUAGGAGGCGGGGAGAGGCAAGCGGUACUCGAUGGGUAGGGGUAAAAUCCGUUGAUCCAUUNGAAGACCACCCAGUGGGCGAAAGCGGCUUUGGCCAGAACCGCGCUCGACCGGUGAAGGAUGAAAAGCUUGGGGGAAGCAAACCCGAAUUAAAUAACCCGGGGUAGUUCCCAGCUUGU
rnacentral:rRNA from 1 species